rnacentral:rRNA from 1 species
GAUGAACGCUGGCGGCGUGCUUAACACAUGCAAGUCGAACGGGAAACCUUUUAUUGAAGCUUCGGCAGAUUUAGCUGGUUUCUAGUGGCGGACGGGUGAGUAACGCGUGGGUAACCUGCCUUAUACAGGGGGAUAACAGUCAGAAAUGGCUGCUAAUACCGCAUAAGCGCACAGAGCUGCAUGGCUCAGUGUGAAAAACUCCGGUGGUAUAAGAUGGACCCGCGUUGGAUUAGCUGGUUGGUGGGGUAACGGCCCACCAAGGCGACGAUCCAUAGCCGGCCUGAGAGGGUGAACGGCCACAUUGGGACUGAGACACGGCCCAGACUCCUACGGGAGGCAGCAGUGGGGAAUAUUGCACAAUGGGGGAAACCCUGGUGCAGCGACGCCGCGUGAAGGAAGAAGUAUCUCGGUAUGUAAACUUCUAUCAGCAGGGAAGAUAAUGACGGUACCUGACUAAGAAGCCCCGGCUAACUACGUG